rnacentral:rRNA from 1 species
UACGUAGGGGGCAAGCGUUGUCCGGAUUUAUUGGGCGUAAAGAGCGUGUAGGCGGUUUGGUAGGUCCGCUGUGAAAACUCGAGGCUCAACCUCGAGACGCCGGUGGAAACCAUCAGGCUAGAGUCCGGAAGAGGAGAGUGGAAUUCCUGGUGUAGCGGUGAAAUGCGCAGAUAUCAGGAAGAACACCCGUGGCGAAAGCGGCUCUCUGGAACGGUACUGACGCUGAGACGCGAAAGCGUGGGGAGCGAACAGG